AUACGUAGGUGGCAAGCGUUAUCCGGAAUUAUUGGGCGUAAAGCGCGCGUAGGCGGUUUUUUAAGUCUGAUGUGAAAGCCCACGGCUCAACCGUGGAGGGUCAUUGGAAACUGGAAAACUUGAGUGCAGAAGAGGAAAGUGGAAUUCCAUGUGUAGCGGUGAAAUGCGCAGAGAUAUGGAGGAACACCAGUGGCGAAGGCGACUUUCUGGUCUGUAACUGACGCUGAUGUGCGAAAGCGUGGGGAUCAAACAGGAUUAGAUACCCCAGUAGUCC
rnacentral:rRNA from 1 species